AUUGGACGCUGGCGGCAUGCCUUACACAUGCAAGUCGAACGGCAGCACGGAUGCUUGCACCUGGUGGCGAGUGGCGAACGGGUGAGUAAUACAUCGGAACAUGUCCUGUAGUGGGGGAUAGCCCGGCGAAAGCCGGAUUAAUACCGCAUACGAUCUACGGAUGAAAGCGGGGGACCUUCGGGCCUCGCGCUAUAGGGUUGGCCGAUGGCUGAUUAGCUAGUUGGUGGGGUAAAGGCCUACCAAGGCGACGAUCAGUAGAUGGUCUGAGAGGACGACCAGCCACACUGGGACUGAGACACGGCCCAGACUCCUACGGGAGGCAGCAGUGGGGAAUUUUGGACAAUGGGCGAAAGCCUGAUCCAGCAAUGCCGCGUGUGUGAAGAAGGCCUUCGGGUUGUAAAGCACUUUUGUCCGGAAAGAAAUCCUUGGCUCUAAUACAGUCGGGGGAUGACGGUACCGGAAGAAUAAGCACCGGCUAACUACGUG
rnacentral:rRNA from 1 species